rnacentral:lncRNA from 1 species
UUUUAUUAGUCCGUUUAAUUUAUCAGGUUUGCAAGGUUUUUUUUUUUUAUAUUAUUUCUAUUUUUUACAUUGUGUGAUUGAGCUGUUUUAUAUGUAUAUAACAGUGUCUCAUAAGUCUUUUUAGGCUGGGUGUUGAUCUUUUUUUUUUUAUGUGAUUGUACUUGUGUAAAUAUUUUACUAUUGUGUAAGAUCAAUACGUGACACUUUAAUAAAAUAAAUUUAUCUUAU